rnacentral:lncRNA from 1 species
UACUAGCUUCAAGACUGGAGAUGUGGUCGGUGGAUAGUUUGGUAGCACAAAUAUCUUUGAAGAAAAUGCUAAGCUCGAUCAAAGAACUCCAUAUAGAGUUGGGAAGGAGAUCACGCCAAGCCAAUGGGAGUUAUCGUUGCAUGAAGACAUGGCAGUCAUGGCUCUUUAACCCAUAGAAUCUGCAAUCUUUGAUAUUGACGUACCGAGCU